GACGAACGCUGGCGGCGUGCUUAACACAUGCAAGUCGAGCGGUAAGGCCCUUUCGGGGGUACACGGGCGGCGAACGGGUGAGUAACACGUGGGUGACCUGCCCUCAGCUCUGGGAUAAGCCUGGGAAACCGGGUCUAAUACCGGAUAUGACUCCAUGACGCAUGUUGUGGGGUGGAAAGCCUUGUGCGGCUGAGGAUGGGCCCGCGGCCUAUCAGCUUGUUGGUGGGGUGAUGGCCUACCAAGGCGACGACGGGUAGCCGGCCUGAGAGGGCGACCGGCCACACUGGGACUGAGACACGGCCCAGACUCCUACGGGAGGCAGCAGUGGGGAAUCUUGCGCAAUGGGCGAAAGCCUGACGCAGCGACGCCGCGUGAGGGAUGACGGCCU
rnacentral:rRNA from 1 species